CUACCUUACGGUAGCGAAUACUUGACGGUACCCCAGGAAGAAGGCCCGGCUAACUACGCGCCAGCAGCCGCGGUAAAACGUAGGGGCCGAGCGUUAUCCGGAAUUACUGGGCGUAAAGCGCGUGCAGGCGGUUACCAAAGUCGGACGUGAAAGCUCCUGGCUCAACUGGGAGAGGCCGUUCGAAACUAGGUAACUCGAGGGUGGUAGAGGCGAGUGGAAUUCCCGGUGUAGUGGUGAAAUGCGUAGAUAUCGGGAGGAACACCAGAGGCGAAGGCGGCUCGCUGGGCCAGCCCUGACGCUCAGACGCGAAAGCUAGGGGAGAGAACGGGAUUAGAAACCCCGGGUAUUCCUAGCUGUAAACGAUGUCAACUAGGUGUAGGGGGUAACCAACCCCUUCUGUGCUGCCGCAAACGCAAUAAGUUGACCGCCUGGGGAGUACGGCCGCAAGGCUAAAACUCAAGGGAAUUGACGGGGGCCCGCACAAGCAGCGGAGCGUGUGGUUUAAUUCGAGGCUACGCGAAGAACCUUACCAGGGUUUGACAUGUCGGUGGUAGGCCACUUGAAAGAGGGCUGACCCUUCGGGGAGCCGACACAGGUGCUGCAUGGCUGUCGUCAGCUCGUGCCGUGAGGUGUUAGGUUAAGUCCUGUAACGAGCGCAACCCACGUCGUUAGUUAUACGUGUCUAGCGAGACUGCCGGUGAUAAGCCGGAGGAAGGUGUGGAUGACGUCAAGUCAGCAUGGCCUUUAUAUCCUGGGCUACACACACGCUACAAUGGCCGGUACAAUGGGCAGCGAAGUCGCGAGGCGAAGCCAAUCCCGCAAAGCCGGUCUCAGUUCGGAUUGCAGGCUGCAACUCGCCUGCAUGAAGUCGGAGCUGCUAGUAACCGCAGGUCAGCCACACUGCGGUGAAUACGUUCCCGGGCCUUGUACACACCGCCCGUCACGUCAUGGAAGUUGGCAACGCCUGAAGUCGGUGGGCUAACCGAGAGGAAGCAGCCGCCUAAGGCGGGGUCGGUAACUGGGACG
rnacentral:rRNA from 1 species